GACGAACGCUUUCUUCGUGCUUAACACAUGCAAGUCGAACGAAGAGCGAUGGACGCUUGCUUCUAUCAAUCUUAGUGGCGAACGGGUGAGUAACGCGUAAUCAACCUGCCCUUCAGAGGGGGACAACAGUUGGAAACGACUGCUAAUACCGCAUACGAUCUAACCUCGGCAUCGAGGAUAGAUGAAAGGUGGCCUCUACAUGUAAGCUAUCACUGCAGGAGGGGAUUGCGUCUGAUUAGCUAGUUGGAGGGGUAACGGCCCACCAAGGCGAUGAUCAGUAGCCGGUCUGAGAGGAUGAACGGCCACAUUGGGACUGAGACACGGCCCAGACGCCUACGGGAGGCAGCAGUGGGGAAUCUUCCGCAAUGGACGAAAGUCUGACGGAGCAACGCCGCGUGAGUGAGGACGGCCUUCGGGUUGUAAAGCUCUGUUAAUCGGGACGAAAGGCCUUCUUGCGAAUAGUUAGAAGGAUUGACGGUACCGGAAUAGAAAGCCACGGCUAACUACGUG
rnacentral:rRNA from 1 species